GGGAUAGGGGGUCGGCCCGUGGCGGCGGCGGGGGUGGCGGCAUCGCCGCUAAAGGACCUUUAUUGUUAGCCCUGAACACGGCGGGUCAUUCAUCAGCCGUGGAGGAUGAUCUCACAUGUCAGAGAGGACUUUCCUGUACGCCCGGGCGACGCUGGCGCUGAAGAACGGCUCGGGCGACUGCCCCCGUCAUAGACUGGGAGAACAAGGCCGUUGGAGAUCUGAAUCGGCAGUGUCUGGAGAAACUGGGAGCCCUCAGGAGAGAGCGGGCGGGGGGAGUAUGGACUGAGGACCUGUUCUGUCAAAACGGAUGUGAUUUGAUCAUGGAUGCAGUUGGACGUUCCUCCCCCAAAAACCACCGCCUCCACCCAUCUGCUACCGAACGUCACCAGACGAUGUUUUCGUUUUUUGAGGCCCUUGGCUUGAAGCCGUGAGAGACGCUAGAGGGAGUGGGUAUGACUUGAUUUGAGGAGAACAUGCCCAGUAUAUGACAUGGUUCACCAGAGACUCCCUCAUAAUGUCCACACACUGUCAUAUCUAGUAAGAGACGUGAUUACCGUUAUUUAUCACCAAGAUAAACUAUUAGUAGAUGAGGAGGAAGGGGGGAAUUGUGCAGAUCACGUGUAUGAGCACCUUGUAGUUAAUUAAUAAGCUGUAGUGUCAAUCUCCCUUGCUUGGCGCAACCCAAUUAGAACCCGGAUAGCUCACUGCAUAUUGUAUCCAACCACACGACUCCCGAUAUAGUGCUUUGCAUUACUUGGUUAGGAAGUGAAAUCCAGUGUAAGAACUUGAUUAAGAGAUUUAAAGCGGUACUUGCAGGGUUGUUUUUAAAAGCUGCCUCGCACAAGAGAAACAACAACUCAUUCCAUGCAGAAAUACUCAUGGGACCUUAAUGUUAGGGUUUUACUAUGGAUAAUAAAUACAUAUAUACACACAUACAGUAUAGAGAUAUAUAUACACACACAUACAUACAGUAUAGAGAUAUAUACACAUCAGUUUGACCUCUGAUUUGCCCUGAAUCGCCAAACCAGUGCCCUGAGAGGCCAUUUGUCUUCAAUCUAUUUGCACAUUCAGUAUAAUGAAGGAAUUCCAAUGUUGUAUUUAGCACAGAGCUGCAAUGCUAGAUGGUACGUCUUUUAUGAGCGCAAUAUGUGUGAAGUUUCUAAUGGUCCUGGUCUUUAUUAAAAUAGCAGUAUUUUUAAGUGUCCUUAAACUUUCUGCCAGACUAGAACUGUUAGUAAGGAGGAGUUUUUGUCAUAUGAGUUGCACAAAUUUGGUUUAAUUUAAAAGACCGGGCUCUUAUUGGUUGAGGUUUUUCAAUAAAACAUUGUGUCAGUAUUUAUUUUACAUGUUCACCUUUUAAUAAAUUCUUUGCCGUUGAAUUGAUGGUGGGUUAAUAUAUUGAAAAAGGAAAUAAUUUUUCCCCCUUUCUUUUCAGGAACCAUAAUUAUUUUAUAGUGGACAUGGCAGUUUAUUUGUACAAUGACACACCACUCUUAAGUGGACUUUACUUUCAUUUCCAGAUGGGCCAGGACUGAAAAAACAUUUGACUAUCCUCUGAUAAAGCUAGUUUGACCAGGAUUUUUUUUUAUUGUUUUGGAAAUGGUAGAAUAGAGUAAUCUUUCUUUUUAUAUUGGAAUGUGUUAUUUUGUGAAUCGGUGGGAUCCAAUAGCCGAACUAUACCUUGAUUGGGGGGGAUUAUAGGAACAGAUUCUAGUCUCGUAGCCAACUUGUCUAAAGGGGUAUAGAUCCACAGAGCUUACACACCAUCAACAUCAAGCUGCUGAAAGAGAAGGACAUUAUUUACUUUGAUGGGAGAAUGCUUUGUAGAUCAGGCCCCAGUGACUGUAUAUAAACUGAAUGGUAUAUUAAGUGGCUUUUUACUCUGCAUAGCCGUGGCUAUUAGUAUUCCAGAUUCAAUGUAUCUAAGGACAUGCUUCUGUUACCAAGUAUAUUUCUGAAUCUGGUUCAUAAGAAAAUAUAUAUUUGGACUGAUUUAUCCAUAUCCAUUAACUAAGAAUAUUAUAUUAACUAAUUAUCAUGGUCAUGGGUUAGCAUAGCGUGUGUGUUUACUUUGUAAACUAAUUUGAGAGAAACUAGCCUAAGCACAAUACAUCUUUUAUGAUAUACAAAAAAAGAUCUGCUUUAAAGCCACAGCCAAACCCUUUUAUCCCGGCGGUCCCUUUUCUUUUCUCAAGCGAAGUCUUCACUGAAAAUUGGCAAACUGCUCCACUUACGCACUUCAUGACUCAGUCUGGGAACUUGCUAUGGGACAGAACCAUGACGUUAAGCGAACCAUGGUUCUCUGGUCGCAUUUAAUCUCACCAAUGUGAAUUUGCUUAGAUUCUAAUUUUAUAACAAAGAUGUGUAUAUCGUACUGUAUUAUCUACAUUAAAUGUAAGGAUGUAAUAAAUCAAACUUCAUGUAACAUGGCA
ensembl:lncRNA